rnacentral:rRNA from 1 species
CUACGGGCCGCUGCAGUGAGGAAUAUUGCACAAUGGGGGGAACCCUGAUGCAGCAACGCCGCGUGGAGGAUGACGCAUUUCGGUGUGUAAACUCCUUUUAUAUGUCAAGAAAAUGACGGUAGCAUAUGAAUAAGCACCGGCUAACUCCGUGCCAGCAGCCGCGGUAAUACGGAGGGUGCAAGCGUUACUCGGAAUCACUGGGCGUAAAGGACGCGUAGGCGGGUUGGAAAGUCAGGUGUGAAAUCCUACAGUUUAACUGUAGAACUGCACUUGAAACUUCUAAUCUAGAGUAUGGGAGGGGGAGAUGGAAUUAGUGGUGUAGGGGUAAAAUCCGUAGAUAUCACUAGGAAUACCUAAAGCGAAGGCGAUUUCCUGGAACAUUACUGACGCUAAGGCGUGAAAGCGUGGGGAGCAAACAGGAUUAGAUACCCCGGUAGUC